AACGAACGCUGGCGGCAUGCCUAACACAUGCAAGUCGAACGAGACCUUCGGGUCUAGUGGCGCACGGGUGCGUAACGCGUGGGAAUCUACCCUUGGGUUCGGAAUAACAGUUAGAAAUGACUGCUAAUACCGGAUGAUGACGUAAGUCCAAAGAUUUAUCGCCCAAGGAUGAGCCCGCGUAAGAUUAGCUUGUUGGUGGGGUAAUGGCCUACCAAGGCGACGAUCUUUAGCUGGUCUGAGAGGAUGAUCAGCCACACUGGGACUGAGACACGGCCCAGACUCCCACGGGAGGCAGCAGGGGGGAAUAUUGGACAAGGGGCGAAAGCCUGAUCCAGCAAGGCCGCGUGAGUGAUGAAGGCCUUAGGGUUGUAAAGCUCUUUUACCAGGGAUGAUAAUGACAGUACCUGGAGAAUAAGCUCCGGCUAACUCCGUGCCAGCCGCCGCGGUAA
rnacentral:rRNA from 1 species